rnacentral:misc_RNA from 1 species
GUUGCUAUAAAAGUAGGUCAUAAUGAUUCCUCCCACUAUAAAGGAGCCUCACAACCUUCCUGGCCUUUCUGUUUUUCGAACCUUUACGGAACUCAGCUCCAUAUUCUGCAAUUGGAAUGAAACCAGAGCCCCUUCCUCCAUGCUCCUGUUCUGGUAUGUAUACCAUAAUUGGCUGGCAACACAACUUCGAUAAUACCAAUAGCUCUGACUCUCCUCCCCAGAAAUCAGACCGUCCGAUACGUUGGCAAUAUCGUCUCAAAGACUCCUCAACUGUAAUGGCAACCAAGGCCUCUUCAUAUUUAAGACGUUCUUUCUCAUCAUCACAAAUAGCCUCCUUUACAGCCAUCCUUAAUUCAUCUGCAUCAUCUCUUUCAUCUCGAGGGUGAAGUUUCACGCCUUUGUUGAAAGCCAUCCCUUUUACCAGAGCACGAAACAUGCAGCGCCCAUCACCUGUUAUUUUCUGCACUGAAUAACGUUCUACUUUUUUUAAGGCUGGCGAAGCUCCACCUAGUGAAGGUCCUAUUCUGGCAAAAAACUGAUGACCAAUGGCGGCAGAAGAAACGAAAAAUGGGUUUCCUCUUUGAUUAGGUCUAUAACUGGAAGCAGAAACUGAAGCAACUGGAGAAGUAACAAGCUCAAACUGGGCGAAUCCAUGUCUCAGCUCAUCAAGAACCGUUUCAUUAGAG